GUCAUUUACUGUGAGAAAAAUAUUUCUAUAAAAACAUUUUAAAUAUCUCUUUUUUCUAAAUUCUCCAUUCCCAAUAAGGCUAAUGAAUUCCAACAUUUUGUCCAAGACAAAUUAUAAAGGGAUGCUGUUUCAGCUUUCAUUUCCACUUUUAUUUAUUUAUAUCUUAUUUCACGAGAUAUAUUUAAGUUUUAAAAUAUCAGUGUUUGAUGCUAUUGUUCAAUUUAGCAUUUUGUUGACAAUUGGAGGCUGUCUAAUUGUCCUUGAAAUUUUAAUUUUCAAUAUAAUAUAGAAAAACAGGCACUGGCAACUGUAAACUUAUCUUUUGCUUGAGUUUAUACAAUUCAGCAGAAACAAAAGUUAAUAGCAUAUAAAGAACUGAAACAUAGACCAAAUAACAAUUCAAGAGUAAACUCAUUUUGCAGGCAGCAUAUUGUAGGUAAGUAGUAUUUAGCUAACGGAUUUGUGAGGUAUGGUGUGAGUUAUAAUUCUUUCACUACCGUUGUGGCUUUUGCACAUUUCUAAUGUUCUCGAUUUUCUAUUUCUUAAAUAAUUUGGUUGAUUUUCAAAAAAAAUUUUUUAAUAAUGUGAAUGUGUUUUGAGCUCUCUGUGGAAAAAUAGGUUCUACACUAAUUAUUUAGACUAUCUACUUCUAAACAAACUUAAAAUUCCCAAUACAUCGAAUGUAAAUGAAUGCACAGUUAGGAUUUAGCAGCAUGAAAUUCAUAUUUAGCUGGAAUGAAAUUCAAAUGAUGAAUAUACAAGUCA
rnacentral:lncRNA from 1 species